GAAAUGUUUGGUCGACGAGCCUCACCUUCACAUGAAGAGGCCGUACACCCUGAGCAUUGGCACAUUUGAGGACCUUAAACAAGCCAUUGCGGUGUGCCCCAUCUUGGGAAACCUCGUCGCGCUGUCUACGUCUAGAUUUUCAGGUUAUGGACAUGAACUUUGAUGAGUACGUCGACCUUGGCCCUGGUGAUGAUAUACCACACAUGGCAAAGAUUAAAUUGGCUGCCUUUCAGUCGCCCACCUCUGGAUGGCUCGUCAUCAUCGACAUGUGACGUUGAGAAUGCUGAAGAGCAGGGGCCUGAAGAGAGCAGCUCUCUUGAUCUUCAAGAAGCUUCGGGCAUCGAACGUACUGAACCGACUCGUGGAAGAUAGCGCUCGGAAACAAAUUCAAGAAUGCAAGGAGGCAUAUGACAGGAGAUGAGCGCCUAAAGGAGAAUAGACAGAAGUUUGCCACAAAGAAGACAUCCACAAGGGAAUUGGAUGACAAACUCCGAAGGAACAAGAAGGCGAAGAUGGGAGGGAGCGUUCCAAUAACACCCUGUAUUUUGUACGAUGGGGCUGAUCUUCCAUAUGCAAGGAACCUUUCGCUCCAUGCAGACAAAGAACUCAUGUUCCGUAUGUCGAACGGUGAAGAAAGGGUACUUGUACUGAUGUCAGCACAUUGGCUCCUGAACGUAGAGUACGCCCGGAAGGCCUUCAACG
rnacentral:lncRNA from 1 species